rnacentral:rRNA from 1 species
GACGAACCGUCCAAACGUUACUCGGAAUUACUGGGCUUAAAGGGUGCGUAGGCGGCGCAGAAAGUUGGGUGUGAAAUCCCUCGGCUCAACCGGGGAAUUGCAUCCAAAACUACUGUGCUCGAGGGAGACAGAGGUAAGCGGAACUCAAGGUGGAGCGGUGAAAUGCGUUGAUAUCUUGAGGAACACCGGUGGCGAAAGCGGCUUACUGGGUCUCUUCUGACGCUGAGGCACGAAAGCUAAGGUAGCAAACGGG